GCAUUGGUGGUUCAGUGGUAGUAAUCCCGCCUACCACGCGGGAGCCCCGGGUUAGAUUCCCAGCCAAUGCA